AAGCCCAUAUUUACCCAAGUAGCACUUUCAUCUGGAACAAAAAAACCUGGAGGAUAUUUUUAGUAGUAGUCCUGGUCAUAGCAAAUGCAUCUGCUCUGGUGAUUUCAAACUGCCUGUCUACUUUGAUCCACGUGUUUUACUGGACAGUGUGGCAUCAAAAAUUGCUGUUGCAGGUGUUUUCUAAAGACCCGAGGAGACAAACUGCUUUGGAAGACAGUGUGGCAUGGCAGAUUAAAGAGCAUGGGCUUCAGUCAUGAGACCUGACAGGCAUAAAUUCAGGAUACCAGAUAAGCAUCUACGAUCUGACAAGGAAGUAGCGAUUUGGUGUGGUGGUGUUUUUCUUUUCCCAGAGAGGAGUAAGCAGAGCCCUGGGUUUUGACAAAUUCAAAUAUUGCAGCGUAUUAUAAAAGAAGAAGAGAAAAAGGCAUGGAACUGAUUCCCAUCUCACGGUGCCAAAAGGAAAACAGGUUCGGUGCCACAGAUGUGUUUUCUGCCCUGGGAACCCUCCAUUGCAUCUCUGUCCUCCUGCCUGCCUAUCCAUGGACAGUAUGGGAGAUGUACCUGCGAAUCAUUUGACUUGUCAUCCUCAAGAAUGUCACGUGAAUAUUAUGUUUUGAAUUAUUUAAUAUUUUGGGGGCUUUUCAGAGUAGUUAAAAUGUGUCUGGAUUCUGCUGGAAGAAUUACAGGUAAAAUAUAUUUUGCUUCUGCUCUUCUAAGAUAAAACUGCAUUGUGUGUAUAUUCAAAAGAUCAAAGUUAAAAAAAAAAGUGCUUCCUACAUAAGAAAAGUGGUAUAAAUACCAAAAAAAGGACUGACCCCCUCUGUGCUCCAUACUUAAACAUGAAUGAAUUUCAGGCUAUUUACCUGACUAAAAUAAACUGUUACGCUAUGAUUCUUAGAGAAUCCUACAAAAAGCUUUUAUAAUUUAUUUUUGUCCUGCUUUGAUUUGUUUACUCAAAGCAGGUCCAUUGUUUCAGGGACAAGAGGAGAAAGAUUUGUUACAUCAUGAAGUGCUAAGAAGCCUUUCAGCGGAGGGAAGAUACACAAUGUACAAAGCAGCUAAAACAAAUCAUAUGGUAUAACCUGUUAAGGAUGUAAUUGAGAUACAUGUAAUCAUUAACCUUGGAACAGACUGGGAAUCCGUUAAUGAAUCAAAUCAAUACCCUCUCCACUGAUCCAUAAUAAUUUGAAAGAAAUGAAAAAUUUAACAGUUACUGUAUGUGAGGUUAUCAUGGGCUGCAAUUAGCUAGCCUCUAGGAGAUUAUGUUACCUAGUUACCAGAAGGUAAGUAUAAUUUCCGUAGAUCUUCUGAAAAGAUUGUCAUAAAGACAGGUGCCAGACAUGGAAAUGGGUCAGGAAAAGAUACCUGGUACGGCCAAAACCCAAGUUAUCUUUCUGUCAUUUCAUUCCGUAUAUCCUUCUUACGACAUUUCAUACUCCCAGUUAAUGUGGAUGUAGUGCUUUGAAAAGACAUUACAAUUGAAUUUUGUAAGUUUGGAAAAAGUGAUUAUCCCUUUUUAUAUCUUACUACAUGUCUAGCUCUCACAAGAGAUGGCAACGAGGUCAAGGCAAAAAUUCUGCAGUUGGGAGCAGAAAAACACAUGAGCUUUCUGCUGUAGGCAAGAUACUUGUGUAUGAAAAUACUUCAUGUUUGUACAACUCCCUCGCCUUAACGUUUCCAGCAGGUCAUUAUUGCCAGUGGAAUUUUAUAGAGGGAAAGUGGGGAGGAAGGAAUGUCUUGCCUCUACUGAACCCCCCCCACCAAGUUUUUUUACAUCCUCAUUUGACAAGUAGUAUGUAGCACCCUACAAAAGUGUGGAAAGAGCAAAAUGAUCCCAAGGCCCAUGGCUUUUAUAUAUAUUGCUUUUAUGUAAAUCGGAGCUAGAAAAAACAAUCUUGGUAUGUGAAGUUCCUUAGGAAAAUCUCAUUUUGGGGGAGAUAUAAAAAGAGAUACUGCCAUUCUCUAGGGAAUCAGUAAAUAAAACGGAGAACAGAAUUUUUUUAAAAUGCAUGUAAAAUAUAUGCGUAUGGAAAUGUUAAGAGCCUUAUUUUAUAAUGCCAAGGAGGGCACAAGAUAAAAACUGUUGUCAUUUGUUUCCAGGGAAAGCAGUCGGUGAGACCCAGGCACAGUAGGAUAGUUAGUUAGCUACCACAUGUAAAGCUGAGAGCAGAUGGCGCCGCCGAUAUAGAGCGCAGGAAUGUGCGUGUUUAUGCGGGUGCGUUUCUGUGCGUGUGCGUGUGGAAACCAGCAAGGAGUUUGACACUGAUGUACUCCAUCAAGUCCAGUUAUAAAGAACAAGUAGAUAGAACAACAUUCUGUGCAUCUGGCAGCCUAACUAGCUCUGUCAAUCUGUGGAUACUGCUGACAUUGUACUAUAAGCUUCGAUUCCAUCUGUGUUGUUUAUUUUGAGCUGGAUUUACUGCACACUAUGUGAAUUGAUGAUGGCUAGAAGGUCCAAAAGAUUCCGAGUCUGUUUAAAGUUCCAAGGUGUCAAAUUACACAGGAUUGUGUCACGAACAUUAUGAAAGGGUGAGUGGAGAGGCAAACUGAUUUGAGUAUUUGUUAGACGUCCAAGAAAAAUUGCCGAAAAUAUAGAUGAAGAAGGUUUAUGAAAACAUCUACAGAGUACAUACGAACUCCUGCAAUCAAAUGUUUCUUUUUCAAGUUGUAUUGUGUCAUUUUAAAAAAUUCAAAAUAUGUACAAACAAAUAGACAAGUCAAAUCAGCUCUCCAUUCUGAGGUUGUGACAUGCAUAUUAUUCAAAACUUCCUGAUCGGUACCAUACUAAAUUGCCAGAAUAAAGGCAUGGACUUGAUGGGUGAGGGUUACACCUGCCUUCUUUCUGAAUAGCUAGAACUGAGAAACAAGCAUGUGUCUAUGCACUCACUAUUAAGUUACUCUAAGUUACUUCAGCUUCUUUCUGUAUAAUGAGACAUUUUUAAAUCUUUCUACUGUACUGUUAUGAAACAGGCUUUGUUAUCAUCACCAAGAAAUCACUAGAUAUAUAAAUGUAUACAAUAUUCAUUAAAAAUUGUAUUCUUAGCUGAGAAAAACUAUUUGAUGUAGGUCAUCUAUAUCAAGGCUUUUGUCUGUUUUAAUUUUUAACAUAACAUGCAGCUAAAUGCUAUGCCUGUAUAGUGCCAGAACAGUCCUAAGAACACAGAGAAAGGGGAUUUAAUGGUUCAGGUGUUAUAUAGGCAUCUAUAUAUCUGAUGGCAUUUAUUUCAUGUGGUUGUCCUUGUGUGGUGAGUACCCCAGAUUAGAAUUUUUCUGCACUACAAAUGAUGCAGACUAGAUUAUGUGAAGUUUGGCUCGUCCUCAUUGAAGGAAAAAAGCAUUCUUCUUAUGGUAUAAAAAUUUCAAUUCAUGCUUUUAACCCCCAUUUACUUAGAGUUGAAUUCAGUUGAAUUGUGUUAUUGAACACAGGCAUAUCUAUAUGAGUUUGAAAAUGUUCUUAGAAAGGACAAUCAUCUUGCCUCCUUUGUCUCAGAGCUAGGAGAGCAAACAGUCUAUGAAAGUAGCUCAUUUGCUUGAUAAUCCUUAAUAUUCAUUGUUCAUAAGUAUUUAUUCAUAUUUAUAGUAUCUGUUAAGUAAUUGGAACGCACGGCAAUAUAUUAAUACGAUUCCUAUCCUCAAGAAACUUUACUAUAGAGUUGAUGAGUUAAGCUAUCCUUAUAAAAAUGUGAAUAGCAAUACAUAUUAAAUAUCAAUUUAAAAAUACAAGGAUGGCACAAAGUAGACUAAAAUUAAGUUAGAAGCAUUUACUUUAGUCUUCUGUUGGACACUAGACUGGAGGCUUCCCCUCCAUUAGGUAUUUCACCUAACUCAUCAACUCUAUGAGAUGUGCCCUUCUUCCCUGAUAAGACAGAAGCUAGGGAUGUGAAUGUCAUUUGUCUGAAUGAUAUAGCCACUAAGUAACUGAAUAAGGCUUUACUCUGAUCCACCUCCACAAACAUACAUCUCACAUCUGUUUUAAGAAAUGUAAAGGCUUGUAAGGAGUAACAUACAAAAUGUUAGAACAUAAUGUAGCAGUGCUGAAACAGAUGUAUACAUGGGGAGCGAUAAGAACAGAGCAGAGGGCAUCUAGCUCAGAAAGCUGAUGGAGCUUAACAGAGAAGGAAAAGUGACUUGCUUCCCAGACAGGCACAGGCAUGAGGCAAAUACAGGGAUGAACAAAAGGCAGGACAAGGAAUGUAACUUUUGCAGCACAUCCUGGCAAUCCGUGUGGGCCACUGAUUUUCCACAGUGAUAUUAUGCAUUCAUAAUAGGACAGAAUAGGAAGUAAUCCCAGUAUACUGAGGUAAUAUGGAAAGACAUGAGUCAGCGGAAGACCAAGCUCACUCAAAAGAUUUUGAAUAGAAAGUUAAAUAAAUAAUUGGAUAUUGUAGGUGAAGUUAAAAGGGACCAACAAAUAUUUGGAGAUAAAGAUGUAAGCCAAUAUGGCAGAUUGAAGGAUGUACAGGCCAAUAUGGUAGAUAUGUUCAUUUUCCAUUCAGGCCAUCAAUUGCCUUAUACAAGCUUGGAACUUGUUAUUAUCUGUCUAGAACUGGACUGCCACCUCUAAAAUCCUAAAUUGCUUUCUCUGACAACAACUUCAUUCAGUCAUCCCUGUCUCCAAACUGAUCAAGACCUUUAAUCCUCAAAAUUAUGUGUUUCUUAUCAGACUCAAUCUAAUGCCUAACUAACUUAGAUUCCCUGGUCUGCCCCUUCAACCUCUCUUUUUACUUCAAAUUUCUUGCCAAAUUUUCCUUCUAUAUUACAUUUUCCUUGGAAAAACCUUAAGAUCAGAUCAAUUCUUCCUUAGUUCCUGACCUCUCUUUCCCAUUAUUCAAAAAAGUUAUCUCCAUUCUCCUUUAUGCUAGCUAUCUUUUUACCCUCAGCUUAUUAUCCCUCCACAAAGAAAGCAGAACCCAUCAUCCAAACACUACAAGCAAAGGGACUUCAGUACCAUGGCUUCUAACUCUUCCAUCACACAUAUAGAUGUGUUAUUCCUUCUGCAUGAGGCCAAUCCUUCCAUCUGUGCUUUGGAUUCUCCUUCCCCCUCCCCUAUCUCAGGUUUUCAAGGACCACAGUUCCUUAAAAAUCUUGUGUUUUCCAUUUUUUAACCCCAGAUUUCCAUGUGUUUACUGGCUCCUUCUCAAAAAUUAGUGCUUCAAUAUACCUAAGUCUCCAAUUUUAAAAACAACCCAAUGCCUUUGUCCUCUAGUCACUCUUGAGCUACUGUCCUAUUUUUCCCUUUCAUAGGGAAACUUCUUGAAAAAGUGUCCUACAGUCAAUGUUUUCCCCUGGCCUCACUUUCUGUGCAUCCCCCAGACCACUGCAAUCUGGACAUCACCCCAAGAAUUUCCUGAAACUGUUUUUAAAUGCCUUGUUUCUAAAUCUCUAAUGGGUACUCUUGCCUUAUUUACUUGUAGAACUUGAUAUUGCUGACUAAUUUCUCAUCUUAAAACAUAAUUUCCUUGGUUUAAUGAUACCACACACUGUCAUUGUCUUUGUCUUUCUCUUCCACUGCCAUUUCUCUAAAUAUUAGUGUCUUCAGGGCUGUCUCUUAGGCCCUUGGCUCUUAUCAUUCUGUACAUUCUUCUGAGGAGCAUCAUUUAUAGUUUUAAUUACCCCUAUAUGCUUAUAGCUUCAUUUACAUCUUCACAUGAAAGCAAUCCAAGGAAUAAAUCCUCAAGCACUAUUUUCUUAUGAGCCUCAGUAAGUCCUGUAUAUUUAACUACUCAACUUCUCUGCUUGGCUGUAGCCAUCUGAAAGGCU